rnacentral:rRNA from 1 species
ACGGGUGAGUAAUGCAUCGGAACGUGCCCAGUAGCGGGGGAUAACGCAGCGAAAGCUGUGCUAAUACCGCAUAUUCUCUACGGAGGAAAGAGGGGGAUCGCAAGACCUCUCACUAUUGGAGCGGCCGAUGUCUGAUUAGCUAGUUGGCGGGGUAAAAGCCCACCAAGGCGACGAUCAGUAGCUGGUUUGAGAGAACGACCAGCCACACUGGGACUGAGACACGGCCCAGACUCCUACGGGAGGCAGCAGUGGGGAAUUUUGGACAAUGGGCGCAAGCCUGAUCCAGCCAUGCCGCGUGCGGGAAGAAGGCCUUCGGGUUGUAAACCGCUUUUGUCAGGGAAGAAAUCGAAUCCACUAAUACUGGGUUUGGAUGACGGUACCUGGAGAAUAAGCACCGGCUAACUACGUGCCAGCAGCCGCGGUAAUACGUAGGGUGCGAGCGUUAAUCGGAAUUACUGGGCGUAAAGCGUGCGCAGGCGGUUUCGCAAGUCAGAUGUGAAAGCCCCGGGCUCAACCUGGGUAUUGCAUUUGAAACUACGAGGCUAGAGUGUGUCAGAGGGGGGUAGAAUUCCACGUGUAGCAGUGAAA